AAAUUGAAGAGUUUGAUCAUGGCUCAGAUUGAACGCUGGCGGCAGGCCUAACACAUGCAAGUCGAACGGUAACAGGAAGCAGUUUGCUGCUUUGCUGACGAGUGGCGGACGGGUGAGUAAUGUCUGGGAAACUGCCUGAUGGAGGGGGAUAACUACUGGAAACGGUGGCUAAUACCGCAUAACGUCGCAAGACCAAAGAGGGGGACCUUCGGGCCUCUUGCCAUCAGAUGUGCCCAGAUGGGAUUAGCUAGUUGGUGAGGUAACGGCUCACCAAGGCGACGAUCCCUAGCUGGUCUGAGAGGAUGACCAGCCACACUGGAACUGAGACACGGUCCAGACUCCUACGGGAGGCAGCAGUGGGGAAUAUUGCACAAUGGGCGCAAGCCUGAUGCAGCCAUGCCGCGUGUAUGAAGAAGGCCUUCGGGUUGUAAAGUACUUUCAGCGGGGAGGAAGGUGUUGUGGUUAAUAACC
rnacentral:rRNA from 2 species